rnacentral:rRNA from 1 species
AAGGUAUGUGGGGGAUGCCUGGGCACACGGAGGCGAGGAAGGCCGUGGUAAGCUGCGAUAAGCCAGGGGGAGCCGCACACAGGCGAUGAGCCCUGGAUGGCCGAAUGGGGCAACCCGGCCGCUCGCAAGAGCGGUCAUCACUCUUCGGAGUGAAGCGAACCCGGGGAACUGAAACAUCUCAGUACCCGGAGGAAGAGAAAUCAACCGAGAUGGCGCUAGUAGCGGCGAGCGAACGCGCCCGAGCCCAAACCGCGGUCCUUGUGGCCGCGGGGUUGUAGGACCCACGCACGCGUAGUUGUCCGUUAGCUGAAGUCCCCUGGAACGGGGCGCCCGAGACGGUGACAGCCCGGUAGGCGACAACCAUGACAGCUGCGUAGUGGUGUUCCUGAGUAGCGCCUUGAUACCGAGUAACGAGGCGUGAAGCUGGGGGGACCACCCUCCAAGGCUAAAGACUCCCGUGUGACCGAUAGUGAACGAGUACCGUGAGGGACAGGUGAAAAGCACCCCUGGGCGGGGAGUGAAAGAGGACCUGAAACCACAUACCUACAAGCGGUAGGAGGCUGGGCACUCGCAAGGGUGUCACGGCUGACUGCGUGCCUUUUGCAUUAUGAUCCGGCGAGUUACUGCUCGGCAGCAAGGCUAAGGUGCUCUGCACUGGAGCCAUAGCGAAAGCGAGUCCUGUCACGAGGGCGACUGGAGUUGCCGGGCGUAGACCCGAAGCCAGGGCGAUCUACCCAUGAGCAGGGUGAAGCUGGGGUAACACCCAGUGGAGGCCCGAACCGGUGUGGGUUGAAAACCGCUCGGAUGACUUGUGGGUAGGGGUGAAAGGCCAAUCAAGCCUGGAGAUAGCUGGUUCUCCCCGAAAUCUAUUGAGGUAGAGCCUCGAGGAAGCCGCAAGGCGUGGUCCGUGGGGGUAGAGCGACUGGAUGGGCGCGGGGGCCAGAGCGGCCUACCAACCCCAACCAAACUCCGAAUACCAUCGGACUGGACCUCGGGAGGCAGUCGGCGAGCGAUAAUGUCCGUCGGCGAGAGGGAAAGAACCCAGAGCCACAGCUAAGGCCCCGAAGUGGCCGCUCAGUAUAGCGAAGGAUGUGUCGCUGCUGUGACAACGAGGAGGUUGGCUUAGAAGCAGCCAUUCCUUUAAAGAGUGCGUAAUAGCUCACUCGUCCAGCGGCGGUGCGCCGAGAAUGGUCGGGAUUAAGCGGCCCGCCGAAGCUUGGCCUUCAUGCAUUGCAUGAGGGGUAGGGGAGCGUUCCGGGAGCAGGGAAGGGACCGGGGAACCGUUGUCCUGGAGCGACCGGAAGUGAGGAUGCCGGAAUGAGUACGCGCAAAUCCGGGUGAAAACCCCGGACACCGUAAGCCCAAGGAUUCCUGCGCCAUGGCAAUCAGCGCAGGGUGAGGCGGACCCUAAGGCGAGGCCCCAGAGGCGUAGCCGAUGGACAGCCGGUCAAGAUUCCGGCCCCGUGUCACAGCGUCGAACCACCAGGGGACCCUGGAACGAAGCGGGAGCGGCUUUGUGGAUGGCCGUGCAAGGGUGUAGGGGGGCAACCCCCGAGACCUGACGCCAAGAGUCGGGGGCAACCCCGGCCCGAGUCUCGUAGAGUCGACAGGCAAGAAAAGCCGGGUGGGGAGCUGUGGGACGUCCGUACCGCAAACCGACACAGGUGGGCGAGGCGAGUAGCCUCAGGUGCACGAGUGAGACGUGGUCAAGGAACUCGGCAUAAUGAUCCCGUAACUUCGGAAGAAGGGAUGCCCUUCGCGGUUCGUGGCUUCGCGCCACGCGCUGGGGGGGGCCGCAGUGAAUCGGCCCAAGCGACUGUUUAGCAAAAACACAGGUGCGUGCCAAGCCGCGUAAGGCGCUGUAUACGCACUGACGCCUGCCCGGUGCCGGAAGGUUAAGGGGAGAGGUUAGACCGCAAGGUCGACGCUUUGAGCCGAAGCCCCGGUAAACGGCGGCCGUAACUAUAACGGUCCUAAGGUAGCGAAAUUCCUUGUCGGGUAAGUUCCGACCUGCACGAAUGGCGUAACGACUUGGGCACUGUCUCGACCACGUGCUCGGCGAAAUUGCAGUCUCGGUGAGGAUUCCGAGUCCCCGCGACAGGACAAAAAGACCCCAUGCACCUUUACUGCAGCUUGUCAUUGCUCGCUGCACCAGACUGUGUAGCAUAGGUGGGACCCGAUGAGGGGCGGGCGCUAGCUCGCUCGGAGGGGCCAGUGAAAUACCACCCUGGCUGGUGCGGCGUGCUCACCACGGUAGGCACACCCUAUCUGGGACCGUGGCAGGUGGGCAGUUUGACUGGGGCGGUCGCCUCCGAAACAGUAACGGAGGCGCGCGAAGGUGGGCUCAGCGCGGACGGAAACCGCGCCUACAGAGUGUAACGGCAGAAGCCCGCCUGACGGCGAGACCGACGGGUCGAGCCGAGUCGAAAGACGGCCGUAGUGAUCCGGUAGCCCGGUGUGGAUCGGCUAUCGCGCAACGGAUAAAAGGUACGCUGGGGAUAACAGGCUUAUCGCGCCCGAGAGUUCACAUCGACGGCGCGGUUUGGCACCUCGAUGUCGGCUUAUCACAUCCUGGGGCUGGAGAAGGUCCCAAGGGUCCGGCUGUUCGCCGGUUAAAGUGGUACAUGAGCUGGGUUCAGAACGUCGUGAGACAGUUCGGUCUGUAUCCGUCGUGGGCGUUGGAGAGUUGAGGGGUGCGGACCCUAGUACGAGAGGACCGGGUCGGACGAUCCGCUCGUGUCCCGGCUGUACCGCCAGGUGCACCGCCGGGUAGCGAUGAUCGGCACGGAUAACCGCUGAACGCAUCUAAGUGGGAAGCCGUCCCCAAGAUGAACUCUCCCUGUCCCCUUGAGGGACCUGAAGGGCCGGAGGAGACCACUCCGUCGAUAGGCCGCCCGUGGAAUCGCCGCAAGGCGUUCCGAGCGCAGCGGUCCUAAUCGCCCGUGCGGCUUGACU